UCCGAGUUGACCCCGGCAGUCUCCUACGAGUCCCCGGCAUAACCCGCUGGCAACAUAGAACGAGGGUUGCGCUCGUUGUGGGACUUAACCCAACAUCUCACGACACGAGCUGACGACAACCAUGCACCACCUGUGCACGACCCUUGCGGACCCCCCAUCUCUGGAGGAUUUCCGUGCAUGUCAAGCCUAGGUAAGGUUCUUCGCGUUGCAUCGAAUUAAGCAACAUGCUCCGCCGCUUGUGCGGGCCCCCGUCAAUUCCUUUGAGUUUUAGCCUUGCGGCCGUACUCCCCAGGCGGGGCGCUUAAUGCGUUAGCUACGGCACGGAAAGCAUGAAUGCUCCCCACACCUAGCGCCCAACGUUUACAGCGUGGACUAC
rnacentral:misc_RNA from 1 species